UUCUGCGACUGCAAAACAUUAUAAAUGUCGUCUUCAAGCGAAACACAUGGUUCAAAGACGGCAACUACGGAAGUUUCAUCCUGAUGCACACUUCUGUGCAGCAUUGUUUCAUUAUGAACGAGAAUAUGCAAUUCGUUUUAGAGAUGUAUCUUUAUUUGCAUGUAUAGAUGACAAACAUAAAAUCAGUGUUGGAGAACCAAUUACCCAGUUGCUGCAGUGGAAAGAGGCAAGGAAGUUGUAGUUGUCUCUCAACAAAACGUUCAUAGUUGCAGAUCAUGAUUUCUCUAAGUUUAGCUUGACACCUAGUGUAGCUGUGAUUGUUAAUAUUCCACAAGCAAUUAAUGAGUGUUGGUACACAGGAGAUGUGUAUAUUGGUAUUAAAGACUCCGUUUUUCAACCAUCAUAUGCCAUUCGACAUGCAAAAGAGCUUUAUAGUAUUCUAGUUUCAAAAAUGGUGGGACGUCACAUUUUAUUUGUGUACUCUGAUGGGGGACCUGACCAUUGCCUUACUUAUAUUUCUGUACAAUUAUCUCUUGUUGCACUGUUCAAGAACUUAGAUCUCGAUGUCCUUAUUGCUGCAUGUACUUCACCAUAAUGUCAAUUAUAAAUCUUGGUCUACAAUGUGUUGGUAUCAUGAGGGGGAAGAUGGGUGACAAGUUUGAAAACAUUGUUUCUAACUGUAAUACUUUAAACGAACUCCGAGCAGGGUGUUGUGACCUCAAAAAUGAUGUUGAAGAAUCUUUAGCACCAGUCAAGGAACUCCUUUUUCUAAUGUUUUAAAACGCUUACAAUUAAGAGGUAAAAAUAUUGAAAUGUUUAAUAGCACAUCACAGUCCAAAAUUGAUGCUUUUUGGGAGGUUUUACUUUUAAUUGAUUCAACACUGACAACACAGAACACAACAAAAUCUGCUCCUACCAAGUUGACUUCUUUGAACAAUUAUAUUUCAACUGCUGUACAUGCAGUAAGUGUUCAAUCACCAUUAAGAAGUGUGGGAAACCUGAAUGUACCCUUUGCACUCCAGUCAAAAUGUCUUCAGAGCAAUUUUCAAAUCCUGUAAUUGGGGAGGAAGGGCAUUACAAAGAGUUUUCUGAAGUGUACGGUGCUAAUUUUUAAGAGAAUGAGCAAAAUCUUAGAUCUGUAAAGCCUUCGUUAAAGCAAAAAAAGGCACAAAGAAGACACUAGAUUACUCUUCCACUCAACAAAAUGUCAAAAACAUUGGAGUUCUCAUUCAAUGUGAAGAGUGUGAUAUGUAGAGAUUACUAUUUUCAAAAAGAAAGCAAGAUUUACUAAGUGAACACGAUUUACAAAAAGUGCUUCUAGAAGUUUCUUAUACGUGUGGAAUGUUGUUUGAUGAAAUUGAUCUUCCAGACAGUCUCAAGAGUGUUAAAGUAAAAGAGCACUUUUGUCAUGAUCCAACAGAAAAGUUGUACUAUUUAUCAGGAUACGAAACAAUUUGUUGCUAUUGUGGUAGCAGUUGUGAAGAUGACCCUGAUAACUAUCCUCAGUGUGUGCAGUGUCGUUCACAACCUCAAGUCAAAUAAGUUAAAAGAAAGGAAACUUAGUUCUAUUGUGUUUUGAUAAGAGUCAUCAAUAAUAAUUAA